ACUCUCUUGACCUCAUGAUCCGCCCACCUCAGCCUCCCAAAGUGCUGGGAUUACAGGCAUGAGUCACCACGCAGGGCCUGAAAUCCAAAUUUAACAGGAUGUCUUUUACUUUUAUUUGCUACCCUACCCCUACUUCCAUCUCCAAGUAUAGUUUCCUUGAUGGCAAAACAUGUUUCUCACUGGUCUCUGAAUCCCUGAAACUAGCCCAGUGCACGACAGUUCAUGCUCGGUUAAUAUGAAGAGAAGGCAACUUAUCUGGCUGCAGCGCUGAGAAUGGUUGGAGGGAGUUGUGACUGGAGACAGUGAGACCAGGAGGGAAGGUGGAACUAAGGAUCCCGAAUCCGUUUGGAGGCAGAGAGGGGCCAACAGGGUGUUUGAAGGGAGCAAAGGCAUCGAAAUUUUUGGAGCAUCUAGAACUGGGGCAGUGAAUGCAGAAGAGUGGGAGCACACACACGUUUCUCCUCCUUGACCCAGAAUGGGCACAGCCUUCAGAGAGCUCUUGCCAGCUCCUCACUCUAGCCUGGGUGAAGGGGGCAUCUGUGCCAAAGCAGGAAGGCACACAGGCGGAUUGGAAGGAAUUUCUCUCAGCAGCGUCAAAUGCCUGAGGGAUCUCGCCCUCGACCCUCUCCAUCUCUCAUGGUACUCUCAUUCACCCCCGGCUGCAGCUCCUGCCUCUGUGCUGACAGCUGUCACAUCAAUCCAGCCCAGACCUCCCUCGGCAGCUCUAGACCAGCAGAUCCCACUGCCUCCUGACAACCCCUCUGGAUGUCCCACAGUUCCUCAGACUUAGCAUCCUUUCCAAAUCCAUGCCCCCAUCUCAUUUCCAAAAAAGAAAAAUCAUAGAGGCCUCCCCAAUACAAAUGCAUAGGACAUGGGAAACAAGGUUUGAAAGGAUAUCCAGAAAAGCUUAGGGAUAGCCCUGGCCUUUUGGAGGUGACUUGGGGGUGGUAUGAGAGGCCAGAGUCAGCAGUAACUUCUCCUUUCUUCCCCACGAAGGUGUGGACUUCUUAGCUUCCUGUCCUUUUCGUACCAUUUGCCAAAUUGAAUUUAAAUAAUUAUUACUGUAAUUGCUUACUUAUUGUCUGUCUCUCCUGGUUGAAGCUUCUCAAGGGCAGGGAUCAUGUCUGUUUCACUUCUGUAUCCUUGGCAUCUGUCAUAUAAUCAGUAUCUGACAUAUAAUAGGUGCUUAAUAAAUAUUUGUUUGAAUUAA